rnacentral:sRNA from 1 species
CAACUACUCCGGCCUGAAAGUCGAGGCUUGAAAAAGCCCUGGUUGACUAGCCUCAGUAUGCUGAAAUGCGCGCUUCGCUGGAUAGGAAUGGAUAGGCACCGCGGCAUGUUGAUCCUAGUCCCGCGCUCUGC